GAUGAACGCUGGCGGCGUGCCUAAUACAUGCAAGUCGAGCGAACAGACGAUGAGCUUGCUCUCCUGACGUUAGCGGCGGGCGGGCGAGUAACACGUACAUAACCUACUUCUAAUACUGGGAUAACUUCGUGAGACCGGAGACACUACCGCCUCAUAUAAUGAACCGCAUGGAUCAAUGGUGCUUGGCGGCUUUCCUGUCACUUUGAGAUGGUUUCGCGCCGCAUUAGCUAGUUGGUAAGGUAACGGCUUACCAAGGCGACGAUGCGUAGCCGACCUGAGAGGAUGAUCAGCCACACUGGAACUGAGACACGGUCCAGACUCCUACGGGAGGCAGCAGUAGGGAAUAUUGCACAAUGGGCGAAAGCUUGACCGAGCAACGCCGCGUGAGUGAAGAAGGUCUUCGGAUCGUAAAACUCUGUUAUUAGGGAAGAACAGCUGUAGGAGAAUCUCUGGCCGUCUUGACGGUACCUAAACAGAAAGCAACGGCUAACUACGUG
rnacentral:rRNA from 1 species